rnacentral:rRNA from 1 species
CAGCCGCCGCGGUAAUACGUAGGGUGCGAGCGUUAAUCGGAAUUACUGGGCGUAAAGCGUGCGCAGGCGGUUGUGUAAGACAGGUGUGAAAUCCCCGGACUUAACCUGGGAACUGCGCUUGUGACUGCACAGCUAGAGUAUGGCAGAGGGGGGUGGAAUUCCACGUGUAGCAGUGAAAUGCGUAGAGAUGUGGAGGAACACCGAUGGCGAAGGCAGCCCCCUGGGCCAAUACUGACGCUCAUGCACGAAAGCGUGGGGAGCAAACAGGAUUAGAUACCCGCGUAGUCCCUGUCUCUUAUAC